rnacentral:rRNA from 1 species
UACGUAGGGUGCAAGCGUUGUCCGGAAUUAUUGGGCGUAAAGAGCUCGUAGGCGGUUUUUCGCGUCUGCUGUGAAAACUCGGGGCUCAACUCCGAGCUUGCAGUGGGUACGGGCAGACUAGAGUGCGGUAGGGGAGACUGGAAUUCCUGGUGUAGCGGUGGAAUGCGCAGAUAUCAGGAGGAACACCGGUGGCGAAGGCGGGUCUCUGGGCCGUAACUGACGCUGAGGAGCGAAAGCAUGGGGAGCGAACAGG